rnacentral:rRNA from 1 species
AUUGAACGCUGGCGGCAUGCCUUACACAUGCAAGUCGAACGGUAACAGGUCUUCGGAUGCUGACGAGUGGCGAACGGGUGAGUAAUACAUCGGAACGUGCCCGAGAGUGGGGAUAACGAGGCGAAAGCUUUGCUAAUACCGCAUACGAUCUCAGGAUGAAAGCAGGGGACCGCAAGGCCUUGCGCUCACGGAGCGGCCGAUGGCAGAUUAGGUAGUUGGUGAGGUAAAGGCUCACCAAGCCGACGAUCUGUAGCUGGUCUGAGAGGAGACCAGCCACACUGGGACUGAGACACGGCCCAGACUCCUACGGGAGGCAGCAGUGGGGAAUAUUGGUCAAUGGCGCAAGCCUGAACCAGCCAUGCCGCGUGCAGGAAGACGGUCCUAUGGAUUGUAAACUGCUUUAUACAGGAAGAAACCCUCCACGUGUGGGAG